UGGGGAAUAUUGCACAAUGGGCGCAAGCCUGAUGCAGCCAUGCCGCGUGUAUGAAGAAGGCCUUCGGGUUGUAAAGUACUUUCAGCGGGGAGGAAGGGAGUAAAGUUAAUACCUUUGCUCAUUGACGUUACCCGCAGAAGAAGCACCGGCUAACUCCGUGCCAGCAGCCGCGGUAAUACGGAGGGUGCAAGCGUUAAUCGGAAUUACUGGGCGUAAAGCGCACGCAGGCGGUUUGUUAAGUCAGAUGUGAAAUCCCCGGGCUCAACCUGGGAACUGCAUCGGAUACUGGCAAGCUUGAGUCUCGUAGAGGGGGGUAGAAUUCCAGGUGUGGCGGUGAAAUGCGUAGAGAUCUGGAGGAAUACAGGUGGCGAAGGCGGCCCCCUGGACGAAGACUGACGCUCAGGUGCGAAAGCGUGGGGAGCAAACAGG
rnacentral:rRNA from 1 species